CAUUGAAACACCAGUUCUCAUACAAUCACUGAAGUUAAGCAAUGUUGAGCCUAGUCAGUAACUAGAUGGAUGACUGCUUGGGAAUAGCAAGUUUUGU